CGUGUCCUACGGGGGGCAGCAGUGGGGAAUAUUGGGCAAUGGGCGCAAGCCUGACCCAGCGACGCCGCGUGAGGGAAGACGGUCUUCGGAUUGUAAACCUCUUUCAGCAGGGAAGACAAAAGGACGGUACCUGCAGAAGAAGCCACGGCUAACUACGUGCCAGCAGCCGCGGUAAUACGUAGGGAGCGAGCGUUGUCCGGAAUUACUGGGUGUAAAGGGAGCGUAGGCGGGAUUGCAAGUUGGAUGUGAAAACUGCGGGCUCAACCCGGAGCGUGCAUUCAAAACUGCGAUUCUGUAGUGA
rnacentral:rRNA from 1 species